AUUGAACGCUGGCGGCAGGCCUAACACAUGCAAGUCGAACGAGUGGCGGACGGGUGAGUAAUGUCUGGGAAACUGCCCGAUGGAGGGGGAUAACUACUGGAAACGGUAGCUAAUACAGCAUACCAUCGGAUGUGCCCAGAUGGGAUUAGCUAGUAGGUGGGGUAACGGCUCACCUAGGCGACGAUCCCUAGCUGGCCAGAGAGGAUGACCGGCCACACUGGAAGUGGGACACGGGCCAGACUCCUACGGGAGGCAGCAGUUGGGAAUAUGGCACAAUGGGCGCAAGCCUGAUGCAGCCAGGCCGCUUGUAUGAAGAAGGCCUUCGGGUUCUAAAGUACUUUCAGCGAGGAGGCGUUACUCUCAGAAGAAGCACCGGCUAACUCCGUGCCAGCAGCCGCGGUAAUUC
rnacentral:rRNA from 1 species